rnacentral:rRNA from 1 species
UGGGGAAUUUUGCGCAAUGGGGGAAACCCUGACGCAGCAACGCCGCGUGAGUGAUGAAGGCCUUCGGGUCGUAAAGCUCUGUCAGAGGAGAAGAAAUGCAGGGGUGCUAAUAUCAUCUUUGCUUGACGGUACCCUCAAAGGAAGCACCGGCUAACUCCGUGCCAGCAGCCGCGGUAAUACGGAGGGUGCGAGCGUUGUUCGGAAUUAUUGGGCGUAAAGCGCGUGUAGGCGGUUUGAUAAGUCUGAUGUGAAAGCCCCGGGCUCA